rnacentral:rRNA from 1 species
GUGCCAGCCGCCGCGGUAAUACGUAGGUGGCAAGCGUUAUCCGGAAUUAGUGGGCGUAAAGCGCGCGUAGGCGGUUUUUUAAGUCUGAUGUGAAAGCCCACGGCUCAACCGUGGAGGGUCAUUGGAAACUGGAAAACUUGAGUGCAGAAGAGGAAAGUGGAAUUCCAUGUGUAGCGGUGAAAUGCGCAGAGAUAUGGAGGAACACCAGUGGCGAAGGCGACUUUCNUGGUCUGUAACUGACGCUGAUGUGCGAAAGCGUGGGGAUCAAGCAGGAUUAGAUA